CUGUCCCUUCUGAGUAGCUUCUGGUGCCAUAGUCUCCUGUGACUCUGGCUAGAGGAACUCACUGGUGUCAUUGCUUCUCCCUGUUUCUGCCCAGGCCCCUGGACCAAUUUCCUCGGUUGCGUCUUUGCCCUAACUCCACCUGCCUCAGAUGGAUGGGAUGUCAUAGAAGCUUCACUGUUUCCUUGGCAUGGCCACAGCCCCAGGCAGAUAGGAGGCCAGCAAUGAAGAUUCGUUGAAUGGAAGGAGUGCAUGCAGCCGCAUCUGUGAGAAGAAGUCAGUGGGCAGGAAAGCAGGAAGACAAGGAAGGCAACAAGGAUCCCCCACUGUGGCUGUUGCUGGCGCUCCUACCUCUUGGGAAAGGAGCUGGCCAGGAACAGAAUCCUUCAGGCAAAGCGGGCUUCAGCUUGACCCAGAAGCUGGAAGUGAUGGACUCUGAUAUGGUGGAACUACACAAUGGAAGGAUCUAGAUUCUUGGUCCUGGCUCAAAGAAACAUCUCCUAGAGAGUCACCUGACCCGCACAAGACUAUGACAGCAGCGAGAAUUACACCACUGAGAUGUUAGGGUGCUGCCGUGGUUAAUACAUCCCUGUGGCUUGGAAAGUCUGUGGUGAUAAUUCACACCAAUUUAUCUU